rnacentral:piRNA from 1 species
UGUUGUGACGAAUAACGGCAA